CCUACGGGAGGCAGCAGUAGGGGAUCUUCCACAAUGGGCGAAAGCCUGAUGGAGCAACGCCGCGUGGGUGAAGAAGGUCUUCGGAUCGUAAAACCCUGUUGUUAGAGAAGAAAGUGCGUGAGAGUAACUGUUCACGGUUCAACGGUAUCUAACCAGAAAGCCACGGCUAACUACGUGCCAGCAGCCGCGGUAAUACGUAGGUGGCAAGCGUUAUCCGGAUUUAUUGGGCGUAAAGGGAACGCAGGCGGUCUUUUAAGUCUGAUGUGAAAGCCUUCGGCUUAACCGGAGUAGUGCAUUGGAAACUGGGAGACUUGAGUGCAGAAGAGGAGAGUGGAACUCCAUGUGUAGCGGUGAAAUGCGUAGAUAUAUGGAAGAACACCAGUGGCGAAAGCGGCUCUCUGGUCUGUAACUGACGCUGAGGUUCGAAAGCGUGGGUAGCAAACAGGAUUAGAUACCCCAGUAGUC
rnacentral:rRNA from 1 species